GAUGAAGAACGUAGCAAAAUGCGAUACUUGGUGUGAAUUGCAGAAUCCCGUGAACCAUCGAGUUUUUGAACGCAAGUUGCGCCCGAAGCCUUUUGGCCGAGGGCACGUCUGCCUGGGCGUCACGCGUCGCGUCGCCCCCCACAAUUCUCCGUAAAGGGAACGUGUGUUUUGGGGGCGGAUAUUGGUCUCCCGUGCUCAUGGCGUGGUUGGCCGAAAUAGGAGUCCUUUCGAUGGACGCACGAACUAGUGGUGGUCGUAAAAACCCUCGUCUUUUGUUUCGUGCUGUUGCUCGCAAGGUAAACUCUUUAAAAACCCCAAUGUGUCGUCUCUUGACGACGCUUCGACCGCGACCCCAGGUCAGGCGGGACUACCCGCUGAGUUUAAGCAUAUCAAUAAGCGGAGGA
rnacentral:misc_RNA from 1 species